rnacentral:rRNA from 1 species
GAUGAACGCUGGCGGCGUGCCUAAUACAUGCAAGUCGAGCGAACAGACGAGGAGCUUGCUCCUUUGACGUUAGCGGCGGACGGGUGAGUAACACGUGGAUAACCUACCUAUAAGACUGGGAUAACUUCGGGAAACCGGAGCUAAUACCGGAUAACAUGUUGAACCGCAUGGUUCAACAGUGAAAGACGGUCUUGCUGUCACUUAUAGAUGGAUCCGCGCCGCAUUAGCUAGUUGGUAAGGUAACGGCUUACCAAGGCAACGAUGCGUAGCCGACCUGAGAGGGUGAUCGGCCACACUGGAACUGAGACACGGUCCAGACUCCUACGGGAGGCAGCAGUAGGGAAUCUUCCGCAAUGGGCGAAAGCCUGACGGAGCAACGCCGCGUGAGUGAAGAAGGUCUUCGGAUCGUAAAACUCUGUUAUUAGGGAAGAACAAAUGUGUAAGUAACUAUGCACGUCUUGACGGUACCUAAACAAAAAGCCACGGCUAACUUCGUG